AAGUCGAACGAGACCUUCGGGUCUAGUGGCGCACGGGUGCGUAACGCGUGGGAAUCUGCCCUUUGCUUCGGAAUAACAGUUAGAAAUGACUGCUAAUACCGGAUGAUGUCUUCGGACCAAAGAUUUAUCGGCAAAGGAUGAGCCCGCGUAGGAUUAGGUAGUUGGUGGGGUAAAGGCCUACCAAGCCGACGAUCCUUAGCUGGUCUGAGAGGAUGAUCAGCCACACUGGGACUGAGACACGGCCCAG
rnacentral:rRNA from 1 species